UCGAGCGAAAGGAUUCCCUUCGGGGAUGAAUUUAGCGGCGGACGGGUGAGUAACACGUGGGCAACCUGCCUUAUAGAGGGGGAUAGCCUUCCGAAAGGAAGAUUAAUACCGCAUAACAUCAUUUUACCGCAUGGUAGUUUGAUCAAAGGAGCAAUCCGCUAUAAGAUGGGCCCGCGGCGCAUUAGCUAGUUGGUGAGGUAACGGCUCACCAAGGCGACGAUGCGUAGCCGACCUGAGAGGGUGAUCGGCCACAUUGGGACUGAGACACGGCCCAGACUCCUACGGGAGGCAGCAGUGGGGAAUAUUGCACAAUGGGGGAAACCCUGAUGCAGCAACGCCGCGUGAGUGAUGAAGGCCUUCGGGUUGUAAAGCUCUGUCUUUGGGGACGAUAAUGACGGUACCCAAGGAGGAAGCCACGGCUAACUACGUGCCAGCAGCCGCGGUAAUACGUAGGUGGCAAGCGUUGUCCGGAUUUACUGGGCGUAAAGGGAGCGUAGGUGGAUAUUUAAGUGGGAUGUGAAAUCUCCGGGCUUAACCUGGGGGCUGCAUUCCAAACUGGAUGUCUAGAGUGCAGGAGAGGAGAGUGGAAUUCCUAGUGUAGCGGUGAAAUGCGUAGAGAUUAGGAAGAACACCAGUGGCGAAGGCGACUCUCUGGACUGUAACUGACACUGAGGCUCGAAAGCGUG
rnacentral:rRNA from 1 species